CCCUUAGAUGUUCUGGGCCGCACGCGCGCUACACUGACGACUUCAACGAGUUUUUUUCAUUUGAAAAAGUCCUUGGCCGGAAGGUCUGGGUAAUCUUUUAAAAGGUCGUCGUGAUGGGGCUAGAUUCUUGCAAUUAUUAAUCUCCAACGAGGAAUUCCUAGUAAACGCAAGUCAUCAACUUGCAUUGAUUACGUCCCUGCCCUUUGUACACACCGCCCGUCGCUACUACCGAUUGAACGGUUUAGUGAGGGCCUCGGAUUGGUCUCGGCCCGCUCUUUACCGGGCGGCGCCGUUGGUCGAGAAGACGCUCGAACUUGAUCGUUUAGAGGAAGUAAAAGUCGUAACA
rnacentral:rRNA from 1 species